rnacentral:rRNA from 1 species
UACGUAGGGUGCGAGCGUUAAUCGGAAUUACUGGGCGUAAAGCGUGCGCAGGCGGUUCGUUGUGUCGGCGGUGAAAGCCCCGGGCUUAACCUGGGAAUGGCCGUCGAAACUGGCGAACUGGAGUGUGGCAGAGGGGGGUGGAAUUCCGCGUGUAGCAGUGAAAUGCGUAGAGAUGCGGAGGAACACCGAUGGCGAAGGCAGCGCCCUGGGCUGACACUGACGCUCAGGCACGAAAGCGUGGGGAGCAAACAGG